GACAGGAUGGCCGAGGGGUUAAGGCGGCAGUUUUGAAUCCGCCCGAUGGCGGCUCUCCAGCUGCUUCACUUUGUGAGCGUGAGUUCGAACCUCACUCCUGUCG
rnacentral:tRNA from 2 species